CUGAAAGGCGUUGUUUGCUUCCAAAGAGAAAAUUAUCGGAGAAAAUCCACUGUCUACCGUAUAUAUUCCAUCAUCGGAAUAUUGUAUUCAUAGAUAAACAAGUUCAGUAUUUUUCUAAAAAGGACCACAGAUUGUAUAUCAGCAUGAUUGGUUUCACCAUUUUUGUUAUGGUGGUGUUCGAGACCUGUAAAUGGUGGAGAAAGGACGAUGAAACAGAUAUUGACAAUGAUAUAUCACGGGAAGUUGACGUGAUGCUGGAGAACAUUCAGAGGUCUUUGUAAAAAAGAAUGUAUGUGAAAUAAAAUAUUUACGAUA